rnacentral:rRNA from 1 species
CCGGAGAAUGUUAUCACGGGAGACACACGGCGGGUGCUAACGUCCGUCGUGAAGAGGGAAACAACCCAGACCGCCAGCUAAGGUCCCAAAGUCAUGGUUAAGUGGGAAACGAUGUGGGAAGGCCCAGACAGCCAGGAUGUUGGCUUAGAAGCAGCCAUCAUUUAAAGAAAGCGUAAUAGCUCACUGGUCGAGUCGGCCUGCGCGGAAGAUGUAACGGGGCUAAACCAUGCACCGAAGCUGCGGCAGCGACACUCAGGUGUUGUUGGGUAGGGGAGCGUUCUGUAAGCCUGUGAAGGUGUGUCGUGAGGCAUGCUGGAGGUAUCAGAAGUGCGAAUGCUGACAUAAGUAACGAUAAAGCGGGUGAAAAGCCCGCUCGCCGGAAGACCAAGGGUUCCUGUCCAACGUUAAUCGGGGCAGGGUGAGUCGACCCCUAAGGCGAGGCCGAAAGGCGUAGUCGAUGGGAAACGGGUUAAUAUUCCCGUACUUGGUGUUACUGCGAAGGGGGGACGGAGAAGGCUAUGUUGGCCGGGCGACGGUUGUCCCGGUUUAAGCGUGUAGG